rnacentral:lncRNA from 1 species
UGGGCUUGGGUAGGUUUAGAUCUGGUAUCUAGCAUGUGGGGUUAAAGGAUUUAAUCCAUUUUAUUUUUUGCUACCUAUUUUCAAAGUUUUGAAAUUUAUACAUGCUGCCUAUCUGAUUUUCUAACAAUAUGGUAUGGUAAGAAGUCGAGUCUAGAUUAUCUUAAGAUUUGGAGAUGUCCGACCUAUGUCAAGAGAUAGAUUGCUAAUAAAUUAGAGGAUAGAUCAGUAAUAGCUUAUUUUAUAGGAUAUCUAAAAAAUUAAUAGGAUACUACUUUUAGUUUCUACAAG